AAAAUUGCUGCAAAAAGAUGGGCAACCAUACAACCGUACAUCUUUGAAAAGCAGAAGUAGAGCCUCUUGCACAACCAACAAGAAUGCAGCAAGUAGCUUUUGGAUGGUAAGUCCACAACAAAACCCUUGUCUUUUCCAGCAGCCAUUGUACAGUGCAUUUAGAGGUAAAACCAGCUGACCAAACAUGCUGGAGCUC